rnacentral:rRNA from 1 species
UGAGACACGGUCCAAACUCCUACGGGAGGCAGCAGUGAGGAAUAUUGGUCAAUGGUCGGCAGACUGAACCAGCCAAGUCGCGUGAGGGAAGACGGCCCUACGGGUUGUAAACCUCUUUUGUCGGAGAGUAAAGUGCGCUACGCGUAGCGUAUUGCAAGUAUCCGAAGAAAAAGCAUCGGCUAACUCCGUGCCAGCAGCCGCGGUAAUACGGAGGAUGCGAGCGUUAUCCGGAUUUAUUGGGUUUAAAGGGUGCGUAGGCGGCACGCCAAGUCAGCGGUGAAAUUUCCGGGCUCAACCCGGACUGUGCCGUUGAAACUGGCGAGCUAGAGUGCACAAGAGGCAGGCGGAAUGCGUGGUGUAGCGGUGAAAUGCAUAGAUAUCACGCAGAACCCCGAUUGCGAAGGCAGCAUACUGGGCUAUAACUGACGCUGAAGCACGAAAGCGUGGGUAUCGAACAGGAUUAGAUACCCUGGUAGUCCACGCCGUAAACGAUGAAUACUAACUGUUUGCGAUAUAAUGUAAGCGGUACAGCGAAAGCGUUAAGUAUUCCACCUGGGGAGUACGCCGGCAACGGUGAAACUCAAAGGAAUUGACGGGGGCCCGCACAAGCGGAGGAACAUGUGGUUUAAUUCGAUGAUACGCGAGGAACCUUACCCGGGCUUAAAUUGCAGUGGAAUGAUGUGGAAACAUGUCAGUGAGCAAUCACCGCUGUGAAGGUGCUGCAUGGUUGUCGUCAGCUCGUGCCGUGAGGUGUCGGCUUAAGUGCCAUAACGAGCGCAACCCUUACCAGUAGUUACUAGCAGGUCAAGCUGAGGACUCUACUGGGACUGCCAGCGCAAGCUGUGAGGAAGGUGGGGAUGACGUCAAAUCAGCACGGCCCUUACGUCCGGGGCGACACACGUGUUACAAUGGCAGGUACAAAGAGCCGCGACGUAGCAAUACGGAGCCAAUCCCAAAAACCUGUCUCAGUUCGGAUCGGAGUCUGCAACUCGACUCCGUGAAGCUGGAUUCGCUAGUAAUCGCGCAUCAGCCAUGGCGCGGUGAAUACGUUCCCGGGCCUUGUACACACCGCCCGUCAAGCCAUGGGAGCCGGGGGUGCCUGAAGUUCGUGACCGCAAGGAGCGACCUAGGGCAAAACUGGUGACUGGGGCUAAGUCGUAACAAGGUAGCCGUACCGGAAGGUGCGGCUG